rnacentral:tRNA from 1 species
GGGUCGCUAGCUCAACUGGCAGCAGCAAUUGACUCUUAAUCAAUAGGUUCCGGGUUCGAGUCCCGGGCGACCCA